GACCGUUUAAAUGGUCCAUCUACAAAGUGUUGAUAUGCGCGUUCAGAAAUGAAAAUAACAGGUUGUUGUUGUUGCAGUUCAUCAGGAAGAGAGGCAGAGAUCCUAUUCAUACUACAUCCUGAACAGGUACAGGUGGUUGAUAAGGAUUUAAAUAAUGAAGACAGAACAAUUGAAAAAAGAAGGCAAAGUGACAACUACUUCUUAGAAGAAGAAGAAGAAGAAGAAGAAG